rnacentral:misc_RNA from 1 species
GAUGAAGAACGCAGCGAAAUGCGAUAAGUAAUGUGAAUUGCAGAAUUCAGUGAAUCAUCGAAUCUUUGAACGCACAUUGCGCCCCCCAGUAUUCUGGCGGGCAUGCCUGUUCGAGCGUCAUUUCAACCAUCAAGCCCUGCUUGUGUUGGGGUCCUGCGGCUGCCCGCAGGCCCUGAAAACCAGUGGCGGGCUCGCUAGUCACACCGAGCGCAGUAGCACAUCUCGCUCAGGGCGUGCGGCGGGCUCCAGCCGUUAAAGCACCCACCUUUCGCAAGGUUGACCUCGGAUCAGGUAGGAAUACCCGCUGAACUUAAGCAUAUCAAUAAGCGGA